rnacentral:rRNA from 1 species
UAUGAAACCCAUUUGAGCGAGAGUAGUACUAGGAUAGGUGACCUCCUGGGAAGUUCUCGUGAAAGGGUUUCAUAU